AGAGCCCAAACCAAGAAGCUUGCUUCUUGGGGUUGUAGGACACUCUAUACGGAGUUACAAAAGAAAGUUAUAAAUGAAGCGGUCUGGAAAGGCCCGCCAAAGACGGUAACAGCCCGGUAGUUGAAAUAGCUUUCCCUCCAGAGUGGAUCCUGAGUACGGCGGAACACGUGAAAUUCCGUCGGAAUCCGGGAGGACCAUCUCCCAAGGCUAAAUACUCCCUAGUGACCGAUAGUGAACCAGUACCGUGAGGGAAAGGUGAAAAGCACCCCGGAAGGGGAGUGAAACAGUUCCUGAAACCGUGUGCCUACAAGUAGUUAGAGCCCGUUAAUGGGUGAUAGCGUGCCUUUUGUAGAAUGAACCGGCGAGUUACGAU
rnacentral:rRNA from 1 species